rnacentral:rRNA from 1 species
UACGGGGGGGGCAAGCGUUGUUCGGAAUUACUGGGCGUAAAGGGCGCGUAGGCGGCCAGCACAAGUCAGUUGUGAAAUCUCCGAGCUUAACUCGGAAAGGUCAACUGAUACUGUGCGGCUAGAGUGCGGAAGGGGCAACUGGAAUUCUUGGUGUAGCGGUGAAAUGCGUAGAUAUCAAGAGGAACACCUGCGGCGAAGGCGGGUUGCUGGGCUGACACUGACGCUGAUGCGCGAAAGCCAGGGGAGCGAACGGG